UACGUAGGUGGCAAGCGUUAUCCGGAUUUACUGGGUGUAAAGGGCGUGUAGGCGGGAAAGCAAGUCAGAUGUGAAAACUCAGGGCUCAACCCUGAGCCUGCAUUUGAAACUGUUGGUCUUGAGUAUCGGAGAGGCAGGCGGAAUUCCUAGUGUAGCGGUGAAAUGCGUAGAUAUUAGGAGGAACACCAGUGGCGAAGGCGGCCUGCUGGACGACAACUGACGGUGAGGCGCGAAAGCGUGGGGAGCAAACAGG
rnacentral:rRNA from 1 species